rnacentral:lncRNA from 1 species
UUGUGCCAUUGCACUCCAGCCUGGGCAACAAGAGCGAUACUCCAUUUCAAAAUAAUAAUAAUGAUGAUAAUAAUAAUUAUUAUAAUAAGGAGAAACUUACUUGGCAAAUUCAGAGAUGGGAAAUCUUGAAAGAGUCUCUCAAUUGGAAAUGAAGGAAAUUGGGCAGCAUUUUCUUCUUCAUUUCUCACCUUCUCCUCUAGGUACCAGACAGACUCCUGGGAAGUCAGGGAAGUCAGGAGAAAAAGUUUCAGUCUCGCCUAGGACAGAUAGGACAGAAAGCUCAUGUUGACAAGCCAGAGCUGAGGGGGCUGCCACCAGUUAAGAUCUUCUCAAGCACAAGCAUUCCAGUACUAUUAGCCCUCCCUUGGACACAAAGAGUAGUGGCCAGACUGGGGUCAUGCUCAACGUGGGGUAGCAGAGAUGUCUGUGGUGCCCAGAAGUAGAGAAACAGUUCCAGGCUCCAAGCAGAGUGUUUUGAAAAAGACUUUUUUUGUGAAGUAUCAUGAAGCCCUCUCUCAGCUGCAAAGGACUCUUUAUCAGUGACAGCAGUGACUGUAGUGAUGGGUGCAGGGGACAGACCAUUCAACCCAGCUGAAAGGUAUCCUAGGGAACCAGUGAGGAGCCCUGGCUGAUUAAGGAUGUGGCAGUGGAGUGAUAUGAUUAUCAGCUCAGCUUCUUCAGACCGAAGUUAUAGAUCCCAUGAGCCACAUAUUCUGUUUCUGUGUGAUGAUGCCUGGAUGUGGGCCCUGUGUAUGUACAGUGAGUGAAUGGAUGCCUCUCCGGUGGAAGGAUGCUGCAAUUAACGGCCUGGACAGAGGAUGGGGACAUGAAUAAUGGUAGAGUCCAGCAUUAGCACAACACUCCAUUCAUCACUGCUGAAGGGCAAAUGCAUAACCCUCAAAAUGAUCCUGGAAAGAGGAAAAGGGAGAGGAAUUGCAAGUUCCAUGGAACAGUGAUUUACCAUGCAGCAGAGGAUGUGAGCAUCUCCGAAAUAGAAGGGUCCACAUAUUUUGAACUUUAACAUAUAUAAUGAUACUUAUAAUGUGACUGUUACGGGCAGCUGAUUUUUCAUACAAUUGACAUGUGAGUAUUUUCCAGGCAGGCAUCUUAUUUCCUGUGUAUGUGCCCCCUAUUUAUGCAGGACCAUCAACAGGACCAACAUUGAGUAGAAAUCAGUCACAGCAAACCACUUUCCUUUUUAUUUCAUGUACUCUGUACCCUCCUUUAAUGGCAACAUAAUUGCAUCAUAUCAUUGGUUUGUAGUGUGGAGGCUGUGGGUCUGAUUUUUAGUUUCCCAAUCCGUGCAGAAUAUUCAGAAGAAUAGAGGGUUGGAGACCUCUAGUUCAGGUCAAAAUCAGUGUGAAAGGCUUGACUUUGGAAAGGGUAAAGAGAGUUCAAUUUAAACUGAGUCUCCAGCUAGGGGCAGGGAGAGGAAAGAGGAGUUAGUCUCCCACAAGAGGAGACUAGCAUAAUCUUUGUGCCCUAAUUAGGCAUCCUUGGGCUUAGGGAAUUACUAGGGGAUACGGGAGUGUAAUGCAGGAAAACCAAGGCAGAAGUCAUGUCCGAGAGUCUGGAUCAAUCCUUCAGGGCAGGGGGUGGAGCAAGGGAAGAAAGGGGAGCUGUGCCAAGGGGUCUACCAGUGGGCCCAGGGCAGAUCCCAAGUCCAUAAGCAAUAGGAUCAGGUCCAGGUACCACCUUCUUGAAAUCUGAGGCUGCUGCUGUACUUCCUGCCCCUGCUACCUUGGGCCUGGGGCUGUAAAUGUCAUCAGAUAGUCCACCUGGAAGGGCCUGUGGAAAGCAAAAUCAGAGAAACAAGGCAGGAGCUGGCCACUUGUGAAAUUUUUCCUGGAAACUCUGUCAUGGAAUCAUGUUUUAGAUACCAGAAGGAAGGGCUGCUCUGACUAACUGACCAUGAAUCGGAGAAGAGGCCUGCGAUGAUCUAGGCAGUGGGUUAUGGGAGAGGAAUGGAAAACUGCAGAAUGGAUUCUCCAGCCCAUUCAGCGCUCAUACUACAUGGGCAUGUUCACAGACCUGCAGGCUUUGCCUUUGUCUGUCUCCCUGCUUUUGGAAGGGAUGGCACAGCUUUGCCCCCUUUCCUGGAGGCACAGUAGUCUGACUUGAGUCUUUCGCUGUCUUCUGUAUCCAACUCAUUCAUGAAAUUAUAUGAGAUAAUUUCCAAAUAAGUGACUUUUUUGGCUUAUUUGCCCAAUUGACUUAAUUAUUGCCGGUUUAUUCUUCUUGUUUUGGAUUCCUUGAGCUGAGAGAGUGAAAAAGGGAGUUUAUUUAAGAAGAUAAGGACAGAUUAGGUUUUCAAUUUGGUGGUAUGAUGCAGUCUGCUUUCUUAACUCUAUUAUGACCUAUUUAGUGUUUGUUUUUCUCUUAUUGUGGAAGUAACAUAUGCUGAUUAUAGAGAUAUAGAAAAAGAUAAAAAGUAUCCAUUUCAAUUGACCAAUAAUGUCCUCUCAGCAAUUUGGUGUAUAUCAUGUAUUUUUAAAUAAACAGAUUGCUUUGUAAAUACACUUUAUAUCUUACUGUUGUAACAUUAAAAAAAAGGUGGUUAAAAUGGCGAGCAAGUGCAGAACAGCAGCACUUGGAAAGUAAGCUGGGGAUGGCAAAAGCCUCAAUUUCUGUUUCCACAAAGCACUCUGUUCUCUUUGUUGAUCACUGAGACCCAGAAGCUACCAUCUCCAGUGGAACUGGAACCUUUGUUUUUCUUGAUCUCUGCAUCGUGUGGCUCAGCCCCGGUUGGAACUGAAGCUUGGAAUAAAGCCACAGUGAGCUGGGUCACACUGUUUCUUAGACUUCCCCCCACAGUACCUUGUUUGGAGAGAAUUAUAACUGAAAGGGAAAAAAUUCCCUCUGGCAAGAAACUUGGCUUAGAAAUGCUCAUUUGGAGAAGCUUAUUAUUAUUAUUAUUUUUUGGUUUUGCUGUUUAAAUAAGGUCACUGCUAUAAAUCAAUGUUUGUGAGUGUUAGAGAAGACCAAGUAAAUAAAUAAAGCCCUACGUAUUUAUUGUAAACAGAAACACCCUAGAGGUUCUCCAGGGGAAGAGAGAGUGAGAGAAAGGUCACCAUUUCUUGCAUACAGAAAAUUAACUGUUUCAUUAGUUUAGAUAGAAACACAUUUUUUCUUUAAAAUUAGUUAUGAGGAAAAUAUUUCCAAGUUUGUGCCUCUUAUUAGGUGUAUGAAGUAUCAAAAAUAUUAAGUACAACUAACAGCAUUAGGACUUGUUCUCACCUCAACUCCAUCAUCUGAAUAAAACCACUGAAAAAGAGAAAAACAGCUCCUGACGUAAGGAAACUGGCCUGAUAUUUACAUCUAGUUCAUAGUGUUUGCCUGUUGGACACAAAUGAUCUCAUAGAACAUCAACAACAGACCAAGGCACUCUGACUAUAAUGGAGUGAGAGAAAAAACAAGUGAGACAAGACAACUUCAAAAUUUUGUCUAAGCACAGGCAAAACCAAAUGACCCAAAUACCAGACAUCCUCCUCUCUUGGCUAACAUGAGUGACUAUCAAAGCUUUAGCCUCUAUGUGUUCCUCUUGACUUAUAGAGAAGAUUCAUUAGGAUACUGAUAUGGUUUGGCUCUGUAUCCUCACCCAAAUCUCAUCUUGUAGCUCCCAGAAUUCCCACGUGUUAUGGGAGGGACCCAGUGGGAGAUAAUUGAGUCAUGAGGGCGGGUCUUUCCUGUGCUGUUCUCGUGAUAAUAAAUAAGUCUCAUGAGAUCUGAAGGUUUUAAAAAUGGGAGUUUCCCUGCACAAGUUCUCUUCUCUUGUCUGCUGCCAUGUGAGAUGUGCCUUUCACCUUCUGCUGUGAUUGUGAGGCCUUCCCAGCCACAUGGAACUGUAAGUCCAAU